rnacentral:tRNA from 1 species
GACCAGAUAGUUGAAUGGUAGAUAUCGACGUACAGUACACGUUGCUGAGUGUGCAAGAACCGUCGAGGGCUCGGGUUCGAAUCCCGAUCUGGUUA